rnacentral:rRNA from 1 species
UAUCCAUUGGAGGGCAAGUCUGGUGCCAGCAGCUGCGGUAAUACCAGCUCCAAUAGCGUAUAUUAAAGUUGUUGCAGUUAAAAAGCUCGUAGUUGGACUUGUGUGCGCUGUCCGCGGGUGGCCUGCGCCCAAAAGGGCGUUUCGGUUCGGCCCCGGUGGCGCCUUGAAAUCUGCAGCUGGGAGGACGUUGGCCUUAACUGGUCGGCGACCGCACGCCGGCUGCUCGGUUACUGUGAGAAAAUUAGAGUGUUCAAGGCAGGCAUUGGGUGCAAUUGAAUACAUUAGCAUGGAAUAAUAAAAUAUGGCUCCUGCCGUAUUUUGUUGGUUUUGACUGGUGGGAGUAAUGAUUGAUAGGGACGGUUGGGGGUGCUAGUAUUGAGCGGCCAGAGGUGAAAUUCAUGGAUUCGCUCAAGACUAACUUAUGCGAAAGCAUUCACCAAGGACGUCCUCUUUAAUCAAGAACGAAAGUUGGGGGAUCGAAGACGAUCAGAUACCGUCGUAGUCUCAACCAUAAACUAUGUCGACUUGGGAUCGGCGGUAGUUUUUUCAUUAAGACACUGUCGGGACCACGGGAGAAAUCAAAGUGUCUGGACUCUGGGGGAAGUAUGGUCGCAAGGCUGAAACUUGAAGGAAUUGACGGAAGGGCACCACCAGGAGUGGAGCCUGCGGCUUAAUUUGACCCAACACGGGGAAACUUACCAGGUCCAGAGAUGUAGAGGAUUGACAGAUUGAGGCUCUUUCUUGCUCACUUCGGUGGUGGUGCAUGGCCGUUCUUAGUUGGUGGAGUGAUUUGUCUGGUUAAUUCCGUUAACGAACGAGACCUCAGCCUGCUAGUGUAGUCGGCUGGAUUGCCUUUGGCGAUCCGUGAUUUCGACUUCUUAGAGGGACAAUCGACGCGCAGUCGAUGGAAGUUUGAGGCAAUAACAGGUCUGUGAUGCCCUUAGAUGUUCUGGGCCGCACGCGCGCUACACUGCUGGGCUCAGCGAGUUUUACUUGGCCGAGAGGCCCGGUUAAUCUUGUGAAAUCCCAGCGUGCUUGGGCUCGCCUCCUGCAACUGAGGCGCCAACGAGGAAUUCCUAGUAGACGCAGGUCAUCAACCUGCAUCGAUUACGUCCCUGCCCUUUGUACACACCGCCCGUCGUUCCAUAAGAGUGAGGCAUCCGGUGAAUUCUCGGGAGAGCCUGGGCGUGGCCAGCAAUGGUCUGCUCGGGUUUGAACUUGCAUAAACUUGGUGCCUAUGAUUAGGG